rnacentral:rRNA from 1 species
CCUACGGGAGGCAGCAGUGGGGAAUUUUGGACAAUGGGCGAAAGCCUGAUCCAGCAAUGCCGCGUGAGUGAAGAAGGCCUUCGGGUUGUAAAGCUCUUUUGUCAGGGAAGAAACGGUGAGAGCUAAUAUCUCUUGCUAAUGACGGUACCUGAAGAAUAAGCACCGGCUAACUACGUGCCAGCAGCCGCGGUAAUACGUAGGGUGCAAGCGUUAAUCGGAAUUACUGGGCGUAAAGCGUGCGCAGGCGGUUUUGUAAGUCUGUCGUGAAAUCCCCGGGCUCAACCUGGGAAUUGCGAUGGAGACUGCAAGGCUAGAAUCUGGCAGAGGGGGGUAGAAUUCCACGUGUAGCAGUGAAAUGCGUAGAGAUGUGGAGGAACACCGAUGGCGAAGGCAGCCCCCUGGGUCAAGAUUGACGCUCAUGCACGAACGACGUGGGAGGACGAACAGAGUAGUAUACCUACGUACGUACCGACCGACCCGUAACCGUACUAGUACUACUACGUUGUU